UCGCCGCCACCUCCUCCGCCUUACUACUACAAAUCUCCGCCUCCGCCUCCUCCCUACAAGUAUGAAUCGCCGCCUCCGCCUCCCUACAAGUACGAGUCGCCGCCUCCACCACCGUACUACUACAAAUCACCUCCGCCGCCCCCAUACAAGUAUGAAUCGCCGCCGCCACCACCAUACAAGUAUGAAUCGCCGCCGCCACCACCAUACAAGUAUGAAUCGCCUCCUCCACCACCAUAUAAGUACGAAUCGCCACCGCCACCACCAUACAAGUACGAGUCGCCUCCUCCACCUCCGUACAAGUAUGAAUCGCCUCCUCCCCCACCAUACUACUACAAAUCACCACCACCACCUCCUUACAAGUAUGAAUCUCCCCCUCCACCUCCAUAUUACUACAAAUCUCCACCCCCGCCACCACCUUACUACUACAAAUCACCACCACCACCUUCUCCUGUCUACAAAUAUAAAUCUCCACCACCACCACCUUACAAGUACGAAUCUCCUCCUCCACCUCCAUACUAUUACAAGUCUCCACCACCACCGCCGUAUUACUACAAGUCUCCACCACCACCACCUCCAGUUUACAAAUACAAAUCUCCUCCUCCGCCACCAUAUUACUACAAAUCACCACCUCCUCCAUCACCAGUAUAUUACUACAAAUCUCCUCCUCCACCAGCGUAUUACUACAAAUCUCCCCCACCGCCUGUCUACUAUUACAAAUCCCCGCCACCUCCAGCUUACCACUACCAAUCGCCACCCCCACCAAGUUACAAGCUGGUAGUGGUCACGGGCAAGGUCUAUUGCAACAGAUGCUGGAACACCACAAGCAGAUACCUUCAGGCAUCACCACAUGGGUCUGCUAGGUACAUUCUCAAUUGCAUUGUAUUCGAUAUUGUUCUCCUCACUCAUUUCCUCUUGAUACUGUGUGCAAUAAUGCAGGUGGCAAAGUGAAGAUCACAUGUGGCGAAUCUUACUACUACGGCUACACCAACAAGCAUGGAAUCUUUAGAAUUGAGCUCCCGCACCAAUCCUGGGAAGAAGCAAGCAGCUGCAAGGCCAAGAUUAUCAAGAGCAGCUACAUCAAGUCGUCAUGCAAUGUCAUCACGGACUACAGGUCUGGUGCAACAGGGGCCAAGCUCAAGUUCAAAUCGAAAACAGAGAAGGAGCUCGUCUUGACAGCCGGUCCUUUCAUCUAUGCAACUCCAGAGCCAUCGUCAGUCUGCUUCUACACAUCACCUCCCUAUGAGUACAAGUCACCUCCGCCACCAACACCGGUCUACCAUUACGCCUCUCCGCCACCUCCGGUCUACUACUACAAAUCGCCACCUCCUCCUUCACCGGUUUACUACUACAAAUCCCCUCCUCCUCCUUCGCCGGUCUACUAUUACAAAUCCCCGCCUCCACCACCAUACUAUUACAAGUCCCCACCUCCACCUCCGCCUAAGUAUUACUACAAGUCGCCCCCACCACCGUCUCCAUACUAUUACAAAUCCCCGCCCCCUCCACCGUACUAUUACAAAUCCCCACCACCACCUCCCUACAAAUACGAAUCGCCGCCGCCUCCUCCUUACAAAUACGAGUCCCCACCUCCACCACCUUACUAUUACAAGUCCCCACCACCACCUCCAUACAAAUAUGAAUCCCCGCCACCUCCAGUCUACAAAUAUGAGUCUCCGCCACCCCCAGUUUACAAAUACAAGUCGCCACCACCACCAUACAAGUACGAGUCACCACCACCACCUCCAUACAAGUAUGAAUCCCCGCCACCUCCACCUUAUUACUACAAGUCCCCUCCACCACCACCAUACAAGUACGAGUCGCCACCACCUCCUCCGUACAAGUAUGAAUCUCCACCACCACCAGUUUACAAAUACAAGUCACCUCCGCCGCCACCUUAUUACUACAAAUCCCCACCGCCACCUCCAUACAAGUACGAGUCUCCACCUCCUCCUCCGUACAAGUAUGAAUCUCCACCACCACCACCUUAUUACUACAAAUCCCCCCCGCCACCUCCAUACAAGUACGAGUCACCGCCUCCUCCUCCGUACAAGUAUGAAUCUCCACCACCGCCAGUUUACAAAUACAAGUCACCCCCGCCACCACCUUAUUACUACAAAUCCCCGCCACCACCUCCAUACAAGUACGAGUCUCCACCUCCUCCUCCGUACAAGUAUGAAUCUCCACCACCACCUCCUUAUUACUACAAAUCCCCGCCGCCACCUCCCUACAAGUAUGAAUCCCCGCCACCACCUCCCUACAAAUACGAGUCACCUCCACCACCACCUUACUAUUACAAAUCUCCUCCACCGCCUCCAUACAAGUAUGAGUCGCCACCACCACCAGUCUACAAAUACGAGUCUCCGCCACCCCCAGUUUACAAAUACAAGUCGCCCCCUCCACCUUAUUACUACAAGUCUCCGCCACCCCCGCCAUACAAAUAUGAAUCCCCACCUCCACCUCCCUACAAGUAUGAAUCGCCUCCUCCUCCACCUUACUACUACAAGUCCCCUCCACCACCUCCCUACAAAUAUGAAUCCCCGCCACCACCUCCCUAUAAAUACGAGUCACCACCACCACCACCUUACUAUUACAAAUCUCCUCCACCGCCUCCAUACAAGUAUGAGUCGCCACCACCACCUCCCUACAAAUACGAGUCACCACCACCACCACCUUACAAGUAUGAAUCCCCACCUCCACCUCCGUACAAGUAUGAAUCACCUCCACCGCCUCCAUACAAGUAUGAAUCCCCUCCUCCACCUCCCUACAAAUACGAGUCACCACCCCCACCACCUUAUUACUACAAAUCGCCUCCGCCACCGGAGUAUCAAUCAC
rnacentral:lncRNA from 1 species